rnacentral:rRNA from 1 species
UCAGGUAGGGAUACCCGCUGAACUUAAGCAUAUCAAUAAGCGGAGGAC